CCUAAACCCCUGUUCAGCUGUAGUCCAGAAGCAGGCAGCCCAUAGCGGCCUGGGGACGCUGAUGGAAGAAGCCGAAAUGUUUUCAGCCAAACCGCUCUCUUGCCGGCAGCUUCGGAUGCUGUAGCGGGAACCAGAGCAGCCCAAGGAGAGAAGCAAACAAUUAAAACAUUUACAUGUUUGCUUCCUGAUAGACAUCUCUACAAGGCAAGAUUCUUCAGAGCCUGAGUGACUUCAGAAGGAGAAACUUAUUAGAAGAAGUCUUUGCCAUUAUAUGUAUAAAUCUGGAAUAGUUUCACUCCGAACAACAAACGUGGACGCUGCUCAACGGGGAGGAGGAGGGGAACACAGCCACCCAGUGUUUGCAGACUCCAGCACAGCAAAGUGGUGGACUUGAGGCAAGUUCUGCCGUGGAAUGGCUGCUGCACGUAUCUGCUUGUGCAGUGGGUAAACAAAGCAUCACAUGGGCUGCAGGCUGAGCACGAGGCGCGUGGCUGACCUAUACGUGUAUGAGGCAUGCAGGAGGAACAGCAUAUUCCAAACAUUAGAGCCUGGUGGGAUAUUCAGGAACUUCUCUCAAAAAACUCAAACAAAC
ensembl:lncRNA